GAUGAACGCUGGCGGCGUGCCUAAUACAUGCAAGUCGAGCGAACGGACGAGAAGCUUGCUUCUCUGAUGUUAGCGGCGGACGGGUGAGUAACACGUGGAUAACCUACCUAUAAGACUGGGAUAACUUCGGGAAACCGGAGCUAAUACCGGAUGAUAUUUUGAACCGCAUGGUUCAAAAGUGAAAGACGGUCUUGCUGUCACUUAUAGAUGGAUCCGCGCUGCAUUAGCUAGUUGGUAAGGUAAUGGCUUACCAAGGCAACGAUGCAUAGCCGACCUGAGAGGGUGAUCGGCCACACUGGAACUGAGACACGGUCCAGACUCCUACGGGAGGCAGCAGUAGGGAAUCUUCCGCAAUGGGCGAAAGCCUGACGGAGCAACGCCGCGUGAGUGAUGAAGGUCUUCGGAUCGUAAAACUCUGUUAUUAGGGAAGAACAUAUGUGUAAGUAACUGUGCACAUCUUGACGGUACCUAAUCGGAAAGCCACGGCUAACUACGUG
rnacentral:rRNA from 1 species